CAGGAACAUCAAAGACUGGAGGAAAAUCUUCAGUUCCUGCUGAAGCAGACAGAACUGGUUACCCAGCAAAAAUACUAGACAAGAAAGAUAUAGCAUCACUUCACUGAGUCCCAGAUAAGCAUUCCUUUGUCAGAAGACACUACAAGAGUGAAGAUUGGACACAGAGGGACUUGAAGAUGAGUGGGAUUGGAGUGCAUGGUGUGAUGUUACGAAAGAAUCACUAAAAAUAGAAAAUGUAACUGCAUUCUGCUAUCCUGAACUUCAGAGUGGGCAUUUCAGCCUCAUGAGUACUUGGGCUGUGAGGAGUCACCAGGCUCUGAGAAGACUUCCCUGGCCCUCACUAGAGACAUGCUGGACUAGGAGACUGCAGCCAAGAAGGAUGUUUUGCCUUCACCUCAACUGCACAAGAACUGGGAAGCACAGAUUCUGAGGAGAUGUCAGUCUCCAAACUGAGGGCUCACUCCUCAGAGACCCUGGACCCUGCCAUCCUGGCCUAGGGUUGCUUUCACCAUGCUGUACCCCAAAGACCUCUUCUUCAAUGUCUGGGCAGUGUAUCAUCAGUUCUUUAAUGGCCUCUAGGCUGAGCAUGCUCAAUUGUCCAGACAGGGAGCACAAGUUAGGAGAGGGAGGUUAACAGUCUGGAUGCUCAUUGGUUCAGAGUGCCUCAGGGGUAGGCUUAACCCAACAUGCCAUUUAUCAUUGAAUGUGUUGGUUGUGACUCUAUUUGAAGGCCAGUACUUUCUGGUGAUAUGUGUUGGCUUUGAUGGGAAGGGCCAGGAUUGUCUCAAGGAUGACAACAUUGUGGAUUAUCUGAACACUGGUGGUCUACACAUUGCACAUUUCCAGCUCAGCACAGGACAAUGGGAUCUUCCUGGUUUUGUCAUGAAUCAGAGAAGGAAAGUCAUGUGUCCAGAGCUGCACACCUACCAUGCCACAGUUCUUGUUCUGUUUCACAUUGCCUCAUCUCAUAUUUUCUUAACUGGCCUAGCCACAUCUCACCUAGAGAAGAAAACCUGUUUGGCCCUGCCUGUUAGGUAAUCAGAUCAUGCUGCUUUAUUGCAAAGAUGAAAAAAAUUAUACUGACAAGCUGAUAGUCACUUUCUCAAAAUCAUACAGCUGCAUGGAUAUGACAGGGACUCCUCAUAAAUCAAGUCCACAAAUAGAUACGAUAGUUUGUUUCUACUCUGCAGAAAUAGCAAAGAACUAUUUCUUUUAGUCCUAGUGGGAAGCUGGACCUAGUGAUGUUGGUUUUCUAUUAGGCUAUUAUCUUGGAAUUCCUGUGAUUCAUCCUGGAUAGGGUGCUUAUGUCAGACAAGUAUACCCUUUCCUUUCAUUCUCCUGUCCAAGCAAUUUAGGAAACAUUAGGCAUGUAAAAGGAUAAUAUUGAACCCACAACAAUUUGACAGAAAAUCAUGAAUUAAUGAAACUGACAACUGCAUUAUAAAACUGUUGCUUUACUAAUAUAAAA